rnacentral:rRNA from 1 species
AUUGAACGCUGGCGGCAUGCCUUACACAUGCAAGUCGAACGGUAACAGGUCUUCGGAUGCUGACGAGUGGCGAACGGGUGAGUAUUACAUCGGAACGUGCCCGAUCGUGGGGGAUAACGAGGCGAAAGCUUUGCUAAUACCGCAUACGAUCUACGGAUGAAAGCGGGGGAUCUUCGGACCUCGCGCGGACGGAGCGGCCGAUGGCAGAUUAGGUAGUUGGUGGGAUAAAAGCUUACCAAGCCGACGAUCUGUAGCUGGUCUGAGAGGAUGAUCAGCCACACUGGGACUGAGACACGGCCCAGACUCCUACGGGAGGCAGCAGUGGGGAAUUUUGGACAAUGGGCGAAAGCCUGAUCCAGCCAUGCCGCGUGCAGGAUGAAGGCCUUCGGGUUGUAAACUGCUUUUGUACGGAACGAAAAGCCUCUUUCUAAUAAAGAGGGGUCAUGACGGUACCGUAAGAAUAAGCACCGGCUAACUACGUG